rnacentral:rRNA from 1 species
AUUGAACGCUGGCGGCAGGCCUAACACAUGCAAGUCGAACGGUCACAGGAAGAAGCUUGCUUCUUUGCUGACGAGUGGCGGACGGUUGAGUAAUGUCUGGGAAACUGCCUGAUGGAGUGGGAUAUCUACUGGAAACGGUAGCUAAUACCGCAUAACGUCGCAUGACCAAAGAGUGGGACCUUCGGGCCUCUUGCCAUCUGUUAUGCCCAGAUGGGAUUAGCUAGUAGGUGGGGUAACGGCUCACCUAGGCGACGAUCCCUAGCUGGUCUGAGAGGAUGACCAGCCACACUGGAACUGAGACACGGUCCAGACUCCUAAGGGAGGCAGCAGUGGAGAAUAUUGCACAAUGGGCGAAAGGCUGAUGCAGCCAUGCCGCGUGUAUGAAGAAGGACUUCGGGUUGUAAAGUACUGUCAGCGGGGAGGAAGGGAGUAAAGUUAAUAACUGAGCACAUUGACGUUACCCGCAGAAGAAGCACCGGCUAACUCCGUG